UCAGUGAGUGUCUCUAAGGUAGAUCCUAAUGCAGAUGGAUGGAAUGUUGAUCCGCCUAACAUGCAAGAUUUUCUGCACCGAGAACUUUGGAUGACCAUCAAGACAAGCACUCGUUUUGAGUCCUGAGACCCUGGGGUGACCACCGUGAACAAAUACAGACUGCAAAAAGGCAGUCUUGACGGUUCUAGGAUGAAUGCAAAUAAAGACUGACCACCUGACUUCAGCGGUCCAGUCUCUUGUGGGAAGCAGGUGUUUGUUACCCCAAAUACGGAUGAAGAGUGACGAAGAGGAUGAUGACUUUUUUCUCAAACAUCAUCUGAAGGAUCUUGACAGGCUGGAGACAAAAUUAACAGACUGAGGGUUUAUACAAAGAAUCUUACUCAGCCAAUAUUAAAGAUAAGAUAUUUUUACAAAA